rnacentral:rRNA from 1 species
UACAGGGAGGGCAAGCGUUGUUCGGAAUUACUGGGCGUAAAGGGCCAGUAGGCGGCCAACUAAGUCCGACGUGAAAUCCCCAAGCUUAACUUGGGAACUGCGUCGGAUACUGGAUGGCUUGAAUUCGGGAGAGGGAUGCAGAAUUCCAGGUGUAGCGGUGAAAUGCGUAGAUAUCUGGAGGAAUACCGGUGGCGAAGGCGGCAUCCUGGACCGACAUUGACGCUGAACGGCGAAAGCUAGGGGAGCAAACGGG